UUUUUUCUACCUUAAUCAAUAGUCGAGAGUUUGAUCCUCGCCUUAAAUAUGGAAUAGCUUUACAACUCAUACCCAAUAUCUAUCCUCUUAAUAGGUCUACAAAAUGUGUGAUGGAUAAUUUAAGAAAAAAAACUUUAUUUUUUUUAUUUUGAAAAAGUAUGAUAUAGUGUGAUAGUAAAAUGUAAAAGUCAAGGAAGGCAUAGAUAUAUUUAGUGAUAAUUUGUAAACAAACUUGGGUGGGGAAAAUGUUGGUGAGACACGAAAUGGUGUUGGUUGUGUAAAUUAAAGAGCAG
rnacentral:lncRNA from 1 species